GGGCGCGUGGUGAAAUCGGUAGACACAGCGGGCUUAAACCCUGCCGCCUAAGAGCAUGAGGGUUCGACCCCCUCCGCGCCCA
rnacentral:tRNA from 1 species